UAAUAUUUGAAAUUGAGAUGUGUCUUAUAAUAAUGUGCCUUGUCUUGUAAAGUAUUUUUCACUCUAUAAAGCUGCUAUGAAAUUGAUGGUGUCUUAGCAUUGAUAGCAUUUGCUAAUUGAGAGAUUUAGUAAUGCAUACCCUCCGAGGUUCUUGUAGAGCUUAAAGAUUAUGUAUGUAAGUGCUUGGUACAGAGUCAGAGCUCAAGAAAUGUUGAUUUUUAUCACUUUUCAGUAACUUGGCUGUAGGCCAUAUCACUAUUGAGUGGCAAAGCCUAGAUUGGAACCAGGUUUGUAACCGUAGUUACAGAGCUCCUUCUCUUCUAGCCCAAAAUUCUAGCCCCAGAUAGUAAGGGAACUAGUUCAUUGUAUUAACUGUGAGUAGGUCCCUGUAUCAUGGCCCAGACUCCUUGAUUCUCAUAACUCUGCCUGCUCUUCUUAAUUCCUUAUAUCUUCACCAGACAUAAAUCAUGUUGAAUCCAUCAAUAUUUUAAAAUUGAAAUUGUAAUCCUUAAAUCAAUGCACACAGGACUUCCAUAAUUAUUACUUGUUAUAUUAAGUUGUCAUGUUAUCUUCUGGAUACAGAGCUUCUGGGAUAACAGGAACUAGGUGAAAGAUAAAAUAGGCUAAAGGCAAAUAGGAAGAUAAAUCUUAAAAUUAUUGAAAUGAAGUUAAGCUUUUAGCCCUCUGUUUCGUGUUUUUUCUUUUCCUCCCAGAGGGAAUCAACAGUUCAUCAUUGUACUAGUGAUUGGUGCUGAUGUUCCCCUACCCACUGAAAGCGAGCCUGAGCUGGGGAGGAGAGCGUGACCAAGAAUCUCAACCGUAAAGUCGGUGUAGUGGACAUUUAUUAUUAUUAUUAUUUGCCUGACCAGCGUCUAAUCUUUCUUCUCUUCCAUUGGAGAAACUCUGUCCUCCCUCAGUCCUUGUGAUUUGGUGGGGGUAGGAUUCAUCCUAGGGGUGGUUGAGAAACCCAGGCCUGAACAAUCAGCACAUUUUAUCCCUUUGGUCACAGUAUUUGGUUUAGAGAUGAGCAAAUAACUUAACGUUUUUUGUUUAAUCUAGUUUGAGUUUUAACUUUCUAAUACUUUCAAUUGAAGGAGUCCAUCUUCACUAAUAUAAUUGGAAAUCAAGACCAAUUGGCAAUUGGAGACACACCUAAUAGCCACAGGCUGACAUUGGAACUAAACCCUUAAUGAGCAGUUGAUGAGGACAGUUUUUCAGGGUCCCCCAGCACCAUCAAGGAAGAGAUUUGCUCUAAUGGACCGACCCAGGUGUAAAAUUAGCCAGGCAAAUAUUUUCAUUAGCGGUGAGAUUAUUGUGAUACCACAAAUCAAUAACCUUUAUUUAAACCACUCAGUUCCCUCUUGAAUCCAGUGUUUGCCAUCCAAUCAUUUGGACUUAAUUUAGCCUUUCUUUUCUGGGAAGGGAGUACAUGUAGUAGGUGAAACCUGUGCUCUGGGAGGGAUUUGGUAGGGUAGUGUUAAUGAAUAAACUCAUGGUCUGGUUUGUAAAUGAACUUCCCGUGAAUUUGGUUAUCAUGAGCCAGUCCAACUUGUGAGCUCACCCUCGGAUAAUGUAAUACAUUCAAAUUUCUGAACAUGCAAAUUUGAAAAUUACAUCCAAAACAGAAAUGAUUAGUGGCAAGUAAAGAACUACCUUAAAGAUUACCUAAAAACACCAAAUUUUAAAAUUACUUAUUUGUUGUUUUUUCUUGAGGGAGGAGUGGAGUUGGUGUUUGUUCUUUGAAAUGCAUUUCACUCAUCUAAGAUUCUGCAUGCACUGUAUGGGCAAUCAAUGAGGGUUUGAGGCCUGACUGAUUUGCCUGCUUUUUUCCAAGACCUCAACCACCAAACUUUGUGAUUCUCUGUGUGGUUGCUGAGAUGUUAGCUAUGAAAAGUGGCCAUCACAGCCCUGGUAAGAGAUGUUCUAAGAUGUUACUUGAUAAAGUGAUUCAGUCCUUCCAAAAGUUUAUAUCCAUAACUACCCUGGUAAGACAUGAGGUUCUAGAGAAAGGGAUGGAAAGUUGAACAUCCAGUUUGUUUUACAGAAUGGCUUAUUGCAACACCUUCAUGACAAUGCCAUUUAGAGGAUAUUUCUCUUCAUUAAGAAGACUUGAUAUUCCUAUGUGAAUUGGCAAUACUAAACUAUUAAUAGACUUGCCAGGAUUUUUGCUUAUUAAAUGCAACAUAUAUUGAAUAUCUACUAUGUACAUGGCAUGGGUUAAGUAAAUGUUCCUUUUUACACAACCUAAAUGCAAGAUCCUGUCAGAGUAAUUUCAUAAUCAUUUCAUAAGCCAAAUAAAGGCACUUAUCAUAAAGGUUGUAAUGUUUUCUAAAUGUCAGAGCAGUAACUGAACAAUUAUAAGAGUUAGGGCACAUUUUGUUAUUAAUUUGUCACUCUUACUAUGACAUUAACUUCCUUCCUCCAAAUUGCUCAUUUGACAUUUUUCCAAUCCGGAAAGUGUGAGGAGCUUCACAAUGGACAUUGUUUUAUUUUUAUUUUUUUCUUCUGUUUUACAAUGUUUUAAAAAAAAAAACCAUGCAAAUUAAGCACAAAUACCUUUUUGUUGUAAAAAAUUUUCAAAUGAUGUCAAAGCAAAUGUCUCCUUUCAUUCCUACCCAAUCGUACUCCCCUUUUCAGAAGUUACACUGUUAACUGCUUAGUGUAUCUACUUCCAGCCCCUUUUCUAUGCAUUUAUGAAAAAAUAUGUGCAUAUAUCAAUGUAUGGUUUUAUUUUUGGUAUGUGUGUUUAUAAAUUGGAUUGUAGUGUAUGUAUUGCUUUGCAACUUGCCUUUUUCACUUAAUGGAAUGUGUUAGGGAUCUUUCCAUAUCAGUAUAUGUAGAUUUAUUCAGACAAUCAUUCAACAAAUAUUUAUUGAGCACUACUGUGAAUUUUAUUGUUGUUUAGCAAAUAGUCACUCUCCUUUCCCCAGCUCCUCAGUGGAGGAGUAUAUUUCCUUGCCCCAUUGAUAUGGAGCUUGCUCAUAUGACUUGCUUAGGCCAAUGGAAUGUGGGUGGUAGAAGUGACAGUUUGCCAGAUCCUAGCAGAAGCUUUUACAGGCAUUGCAAGUUCUGCCAGCCUUCUUGGACUCCUGCCCUCCACUAAAAGAAUAGUAUGUCCCCCCUGUUCUUCAGCUUGGUUCCUGGCACAGGAAGACACAUGGAGCAGACCUGAACCCAACCCAUAGCCCGGAACAGAGUUGCUACAGUUGACUGUAGAACAGUGAGCAAUAAAUAAACGUUUGUUGCUAUAAGCCAUUGAGAUUUUGGAAUUUUUGUAACUCAGCCUGAUCACAGAAAAAGCUAACUGAUACAAAUACUUGCUAUUUGCCAGGCAUUGCUCUAGAUGCUGGGAAAAUAACAAAAUCCCUGCCUACAUGAAAUUUACAUUGAAAGAUGGAUAGUAUUCCACGGAAUGGUUGAACCAUGUAUAUGAGUGAGCUGUCUUUCCCAGGAAGUCAAGGUCCAGACAUCAAGAUUCAGCCUCACAAGGCCAAAGCAGGCUGAAGAUGAAAACUAACCUGAAAAGUCCAGACAGUCAAGGGAAAGAAAUUCAGUCUUCAAGGCCAAAUGCAGGCUGGUGGGAAGGUGCCAACCAGCACGGCCACUGCUCCCCUCCCUUACCUAAAACCCCAGCACAUGCUCUCGCUCAAAACCUUUAAAACCCCUUGCCUCCCAUCUUUCGGGCAGACGGGACAAAUCUGAGAGCUCUCAUCUCCCGGCUGACGUCGCCCAAAUAAAACCUCUUUCCUUGCCAUAAGCCUGGCAUUCUAGUUUUAUUUGGCCCCUCUUGUGUGGUGGAUAAAGAACAUGGAGAUGGGUGUGCUGAAAGAUGAUCUACUAUGGGUGUCAGAUUUAGUAGGUAGGUGUAUUAGUCUGGGUUCUCCAGAGAAACAGAACCAAUAGUGUAUAUAUAUAUACACACACACACGCAUGCAUAAUUUAUUAUAAAAAAAUGGAUCAUGUGAUUAUGGAGGCUGAGAAGUACCAAGAUCUGCAGUCAGUAAGCUGCAGGCCCAGGGGAGCUGGUGGUGCUCUUCCAGUCCAAGUCCCAAGGCUUGAGAACCAGGAGCUUUGAUGAUAUACUUCCAGUCUGAGUCCAAGGUCGAAGGCAGGAGAAGACUGACGUCCCAGCUGUGUGUUUUUUUUUUAAUUGAGGUAACAUUGGUUUAUAACAUUGUAUAAAUUUCAGGUGUACGUCAUUAUAUUUCAAUUUCUGUGUAGACUACACCAUGUUCACCACCCAAAGAUUAAUUACCAUCCAUCACUACACACAUGUGCCCAGUCACCCCUUUCACCCUCAUCCUUCCCCCUUUCCACUCUGGUAAGCACCACUCUAAUCUGUAUCUAUUUGUUUGUUUGUUGUUGUUGUUGUUUUUCUCUUCUAUUUAUGAGUGAGAUCAUAUGGUAUUUGACUUUCUCCAUCUAAGUUAUUUCACUUAGCAUAAUACCCUCAAGGUCCAUCCAUGUUGUCGCAAAUGGCAAGAUUUCAUCUUUUUUUAUAGCUGAGUAGUAUUCCAUUGUGUAUAUAUACCACAUCUUCUUUAUCCAUUCGUCUCUUUAUGGGCACUUAGGUUGUUUCCAAGUCUUGGCUAUCAUGAAUAAUGUUGCAGUGAACAUGAGGUGUGUAUAUCUUUACACAUUCAUGUUUUCAUGUUCUUUGGAUAAAUACCCAGCAGUGGAAUAGCUGGAUCAUAUGAUAGUUCUAUUCUUAUUUUUUUGAGGAAUCUCCAUACUGUUUUCCAUAGUGGCUGCACCAGUUUGCAUUCCCACCAGCAGUGUAUGAGAGUUCCCUUCUCUCCACAUCCUCUCCAACACUUGUUAUUUCUUCUCUUGUUAAUUAUAGCCAUUCUGACAGGAAUGAGGUGAAAUUGUAGUUUUGAUUUGCAUUUCUGUAAUAAUUAGUGAUGUUGAACAUCUUUUCAUUGGCCAUCUGUAUAUCUUCCUUGGAAAAAUGUCUGUUCAGGCUUUUGCCCAUUUUUUAACUGGGUUAUUUGUUAUUUUGUUGUUGAGAUGUAUGAAUUCUUUAUAUAUUUAGGAUAUUAACCCCUUAUCAGAGAUAUGGUUUGCAAAUAUCUUCUCCCAACUGUUAGGUUGUCUUCUCGUUUUGUUGAUGGUUUCCUUUGCCGUGCAGAAGCUUUUUAGUUUAAUGUAGUCCCAUUUAUUUAUUUUUCCUUUUGUUUCCCUUGCCUAGUCAGACAUGGCAUUUGAAAAUAUGCUGCUAAGACCAAUGUCGAAGAGCGUACUGCCUAUGUUUUCUUCAAGAAGUUGUGUGGUUUCAGGUCUUACAUUCAAGUCUUUAAUCCACUUUGAGUUAAUUUUUGUGUGUGGUGUAAGAUAAUGGUCUACUUUUAUUCUGUUGCUUGUGGCCGUCCAGUCUUCCCAACACCAUUUGUUGAAGAGACUUUCCCUUCUCCAUUGUAUGUUCUUGGCUCCCUUGUAAAAAAUUAGCUGUCCGUAGAUGUGUGGGUUUAUUUCUGGGCUCUUGAUUCUGUUCCAUUGAUCUGUGUGUCUGUUUUUGUGCCAGUACCAUGCUAUUUUGAUUACUAUGGCUUUGUAGUAUAUUUUGAAAUCAGGGAGUGUGAUACCUCCAGCUUUGAUAUUUUUUCUCAGAAUUCCUUUUGUUGGUAAGGAUCUUUUGUUGUUCCAGGUAAAUUUUAAGAUUCUUUGUUCUAUUUCUGUGAAAAAUGUCAUUGGAACUUUGACAGGAAUUGCAUUGAAUCUGUAGAUUCCUUUAGGAAGUAUGGGCAUUAUUUUUCUGUGCAUGUGCAUGUGAGGAAGGUUAGCCCUGAGCUAACAUCUGUUGCCAAUCCUCCUCUUUUUGCUGAGGAAGAUGGGUCCUGGGCUAACAUCUGUGCCCAUCUUCCUCUACUUUACAUGGGAUGCUGCCACAGCAUGGCUUUGACAAGCAGUGCGUCAGUACACGCCUGGGAUCCGAAUGUGCGAGCCCUGGGCUGCCAAAGCAGAGCAUGCGAACUUAACUGCUGUGCCACCGGGCCGGCCCGGUAUGGACAUUUUAACUUUGUUAAUUCUUCCAACCCAAGAGCAUGGAAUAUCUUCCUAUUUCUUUGUGUCUUCUAUUUCUUUCAAAAAUGUUUUAUAGUUUUCAGUGUAUAGGUCUUCACCUCUUUGGUUCAAUUUAUUCCUAGAUCUUUUAUU